GUAGGGUGCAAGCGUUGUCCGGAAUUAUUGGGCGUAAAGAGCUCGUAGGCGGUUUGUCGCGUCUGCUGUGAAAACCCGAGGCUCAACCUCGGGCCUGCAGUGGGUACGGGCAGACUAGAGUGCGGUAGGGGAGAUUGGAAUUCCUGGUGUAGCGGUGGAAUGCGCAGAUAUCAGGAGGAACACCAAUGGCGAAGGCAGAUCUCUGGGCCGUAACUGACGCUGAGGAGCGAAAGCAUGGGGAGCGAACAGGAUUAGAUACCCUGGUAGUCCAUGCCGUAAACGUUGGGAACUAGAUGUGGGGACCAUUCCACGGUCUCCGUGUCGCAGCUAACGCAUUAAGUUCCCCGCCUGGGGAGUACGGCCGCAAGGCUA
rnacentral:rRNA from 1 species